ACAACAACUUGGAACGGACUAGUAAGGUUACCCGAUUAGUUAGAGAGCACCGUCAUGCUGAGAGCGGCGCAAUGGGGUAGUCUGAAUCACAUCCGGGAGUUGGUCUCCUGAAUCAAGUAGGGAGAUGCCGGUCAGCUCGUUAUCGCUGAAGUUUAAGCUUUAAACUUGUUGAGGUUAGUUGUGUGAACAGCUAACAAACAUGAGGUGGAACCGCGAUCAAUCGCCCUCUUG
rnacentral:ncRNA from 1 species